rnacentral:misc_RNA from 1 species
GGAUGUUACCUGUAUUGAUGAGUGUACGACUAGUGUUAGUAAUAGUCGAGUACCAUUGUUAGUUGUACUAGAUGUUUUUUAACUGCUUUAUAAGUAAAUGUUAGUAAAUUAACUAUUGUUGUUAUAGUUUAUUUAAAAAUUAAACCUAACUUGUGCGUAAAAAGUGCAUUGGAUGGGGAAAUCUUGCGAUAAAAUUUGUGCAUUUACAACAACUGUCCAUGUGUCUACCAAAUAAGUCAAAAGUUUUUUGGCUCUUUCUGAGGUUAUACAAAUGUACCAGUCUUGCCUGAAUUUUGUAGACGCACUUCUUGGUAAAGAUCAGAAAAAUAGUACAAGAAAUGAUGACAGUCAUGUGACAGAAAGAGUUUAUCAUGAGCGUCAAGUGAAAGAGUUAUGUGCCCUGCAUGCCCUAAAUAACUUGUUCCAAGAUGGUAGUGCCUUUUCUAAGCAAAUGUUAGAUAAUAUUUGUCAUAGCCUUUCUCCAGAUAAUGUUGUCAAUCCCCAUAAGAGCAUGUUAGGCCUUGGAAAUUAUGAUGUAAAUGUAUUGAUGGCUGCUUUACAAAAGAAAGGAUAUGAAGCAGUGUGGUUUGACAAGCGGAAAGAUCCAGCAUGCAUAGACUUGUCAAAAAUUUUUGGAUUUAUUCUGAACAUUCCCAGUGAGAUGAAGUUCGGGUUUUUACAGCUACCUCUCAAUCGUAAGCACUGGAUAGCUGUUCGAGAAGUAGAAGGCAAUUUUUACAAUCUUGACUCAAAAUUGGACAGACCAUCCUGUUUAGGAAAGGAACAAGAGCUCCUAAGUUACCUACAGGAACAAAUCCGAUCUAAAAACCGUGAAAUUUUUGUAGUUAUGUCUCAAGAGGUUGAACAGAGUGGUAUUUGGAGAAUGGACAGAAGAAAAAAUGUUAGCCAGUUACCAGUGCUGCAUCAUGGAAAUGAUAUCCAGCAAGAAAGAACAUAAAAUUCACUGCUGCUUUUAACAAUUGUUGAAGUGAUUAUGGUGCAAUUAUUAAUUUCUUCUAUAAUGGGGAUUUAAUCCCCAAGAUUCUGUGGUGUGCUCUCAGAAGACAGUCAAGUAGUCUUGUGAACUGCUUUUUAGUAGAUGGUUUAACUUCUUCUAAGCAGUCAAAGCUGAGCAAUCAUAAAAAGGGAACCUGAAUGUGACAUUUCUUUAAUGGCUACUCGACAGAUAAAUUCACCAAAUAAAGAAAAGGCCCAAAUCUGAGCAAGAACUAACUUAACUCAGGAUUAUAUUCAACUCUGAAGCUCUUCCUGCACUACUCAGAACAUCAUGUCAUCCUCAUCAUCAAACACAAUGCAUUCACAGAAAAAAAAGAGAGAUACCAAGGUUUUUACUUCUCUAUUUGCAUAUGUUAGACAACCUGCCAAGAGCUCUGCUCAAGUUAUCCAGCAAGCUGGCCAGGUGUGAAGGACAAGUCUUGGGUUUGGUGUGUAAACGUGGGAAAAAAGGACCUAUGGGCAAAAGUAGCAUUGUUCAAAAUAGGGCACAUUCUGUUUGUCUACAUCUUGUAACUAAGUGCAAAAACAUGUACUU